UCGAAUUAACCCAAGGGUAGCGCCACAACGGGCCAUGUCACAAAGACCACACAGAAGGCUGUACAGUGUUACUGGUCCAAACUCCCUGUGGCACCUAGAUGGCAACCACAAAUUGAUAAGAUGGAGAAUUGUCAUUCACGGUGGUAUAGAUGGCUACAGUCGUCUUACAGUUUUUCUUUGUGCCUCGAACAACAACAACCGCAGCAGCACAGUAAUGAAUAGCUUUUUGAAUGCUGUGACUUGACUUUGAGUGCCUUCUGGGGUCCGAACAGAUCAUGGAGGAGUAAACCGUGAUGUCUGUGUGAUGAUGAACCUUUUCAGGGGCUCACAGAGAGGCAGCGUAAUAAGAGGCAGGAGCGUUCACAACCAAAAAUUGAGAGGCUCUGGGGU